rnacentral:rRNA from 1 species
AUUGAACGCUGGCGGCAUGCCUUACACAUGCAAGUCGAACGGCAGCACGGGAGCAAUCCUGGUGGCGAGUGGCGAACGGGUGAGUAAUGUCUGGGAAACUGCCUGAUGGAGGGGGAUAACUACUGGAAACGGUAGCUAAUACCGCAUGACCUCGAAAGAGCAAAGUGGGGGAUCUUCGGACCUCACGCCAUCGGAUGUGCCCAGAUGGGAUUAGCUAGUAAGUGAGGUAAUGGCUCACCUAGGCGACGAUCCCUAGCUGGUCUGAGAGGAUGACCAGCCACACUGGAACUGAGACACGGUCCAGACUCCUACGGGAGGCAGCAGUGGGGAAUAUUGCGCAAUGGGGGGAACCCUGACGCAGCCAUGCCGCGUGAAUGAAGAAGGCCUUAGGGUUGUAAAGUUCUUUCGGUAUUGAGGAAGGUUGAUGUGUUAAUAGCACAUCAAAUUAACGUUAAAUACAGAAGAAGCACCGGCUAACUCCGUGCCAGCAGCCGCGGUAAUACGGAGGGUGCGAGCGUUAAUCGGAAUAACUGGGCGUACAGGGCACGCACGCGGUUUUUUAAGUCAAGUGUGACCGCGUGAGGCUUAACCUCAUUAAGCACUUGAAACUGGAAGACUUGAGUGAAAGAGAGGAAAGUGGAAUUCCUAGUGUAGCGGUGAAAUGCGUAGAUAUUAGGAGGAAUACCGGUGGCGAAGGCGACUUUCUGGACUUUUACUGACGCUCAAGUACGAAAGCGUGGGGAGCAAACACGAUUAGAUACCCUUGUAGUCCAUGGCGAUUUCCACAGUGGGGCUGCAACCCGGGGGAUCUACUAGGUCUAGAGCGUCCGCAGCGCGGGAGCUCCU